GCAGAAUUUCUUGCAAGAAAUCUAGUCAUUUCUGGCCUCUCCCUGUAUUUUCCUUUCUCACACUGUGUUAAAAUUUUCUCGUCUUCUUGGUCUGUACUACACUCCAGGAUAAUGAGCUCCUUGUGGGCAGGCGCCAUCUAGGGGCACUCAGAAUAAUUUUUACUUAAUGAUUUUUGAUAUCCUCUUGUAUGGUAGUCAAGAUUAAUAAUAAGAAAAGCGACAGCUAACGUGUUGUUUACAAAAUGCUUUACCAUUUAUGGUCUUCUUUGGUCCUCAAAGCAACUCCGUGAAGUAUGUAGGCCCAAUAAUGGUAUUAUCCAAAGCAGAGAAGACUCUCAGAUGCAGAGAAAUUCAGGGACUUACUUAAAUCAUACCAGUAGAAAGUUGUAAAGAGUUAAGGCUUUCGUCCCAACCAGCUGAUCUAAAAUCUUGAACCCUUUCACAUAUUCUGUUGAUAAUUUUCUUUGCUAUUUCUGAAUCUGAUUCUGUAUCACAGAAAUUCAGUAUCCAGAACUGUAUAGUGUACAAGGCUGAAAUAUUUCAUUUUUUUCUCUCAAUAAUUCUUUUUUCUCCCUCUAUUUUAUUAGACUUGUCUUUAUCUACUCUGGUACAAUGAGCCAGUAUCUUUCUAGAGAACAAUAUGCAAACUCUCCUUUUCACUCUAUUUUGCGUGAUUAGCCUAUAAGAGAAUUACAAUAUCCCUGUAAGGGCCUCUGCCUGUGUUAAGAUUUAGUAACAGUUUUUAUGCUCACACAAGUUCCUUCUGUGAUUUAGCAUCACUGGCUUGACAUUUCACUAUUUUAAAAAAAUGUUCUUAUCUGCACAUUUGAUAUUUUACUGUGUAUUCACUACAUCAGUCAUUUGUGACAAAUGUUAAACAAGAUAACUCACACACUGAUCACUGAGGAAUGAUACUGACUCCUCCCUUCAGAGCCCAUUAAUCCUUGCCUCUUGUUUCUGCUUCUAAUCUAUUCCCAUUUCUAUACAGAAAGCCUCCUUGUCCACAGUCAGAUAAAACCUUAAAUCUUCACUGGAAUUAUGCGGGGAGUUCAAAGAUAUUAAGGCCACUCUCUGGAAAGGCUCCCUGCAUUACCCUCUGUUCACAUUAACCGCCAUCAACCAACAGCACAACCGUUUCCUGACCAUAUACUCACUAAGGUUGCAUCCUCUCACAGCCCGUGGACCACUCAUCAUCCAAGACCACUUUCAGGCCAUUAGUCAUGGAACCACUUAGUCUCUUCUCCUUGGAGGCCCGUAUCGCGUGGCCGUACAACCCUCUACUCUUCCUCAUGCAUGAGUCUCAGUGUUGCCCUUCCUCAUGCUGUGAAACUUCUGCUCUGACUCACAGUCUCCUCUUUGUCUCAAGUGAGGCCAUCAGCUAACUUCCAUGAGAAGGUAAAGACUACCUGAGGAAUGAGGAAGCACUGCUAUAAAAUACAGUUGAAAGAAGCACACAUCUAUGUACACCCCGAGGAAGUUUGUGGUAUUCAUCCUCAAACUCUGCAAACAAAUCAGGAAAACAGCAGAGUCCUUCCUUGACAAAGUUAUUAUAAAGCUGGAAAACACCUUGCCUUGGAAAGGAGCCAAUUCAUUUCAACAGAAUAAGGUCUGAAACUCAUAAAAUCUUUGAAGUGACUUCACAGAGAUGCAAAUAUGUGCACUUGAAGAUGCUGAAGCUCUUCCAGUAUCUAGAGAAGCACCCUUCUCUUGGUUGGACUGCUGUCAUUCCUACACUCUCUUCUCUUGUGCUGAAAGCACCCAUUAUUUAGUCAGGGGAAAACUACACUUAGGAUAUAUAAAUAGUCUCAAUUACUCAAAGGAAGAAAAUGUUGCCUAAGAUUUCUGUCUACAAGUUUGUCAUUUUUCUUUAUUUUCAAAUGUUUAUAAUAGGAAUGGUUCAUUAAGGCAAAUUUGUGAAAUGCAGGGAGAAGAUAUGAAAAACAAAUGUCUAUAAUUUUACUACCCAUUGAUAACCACUGUUAAAAUUUUAAUUCAUGUUCUGUUAAUCUUUCUUUUUAUGUUUCUUUUUACACACAGAGGUUUUUCUUUCUUAAAUAUCUCCUUUUUUAUCAAGUAGAAUUCACUCAUUUUAGAUAGUUUGGAGUAAAAUAUAUGCUAUAUCAGUUUUCACUUUUUCAAAAGAAAAUAAAUUCAUUUCUAUUUAUUAAAAAGACAUUAAAUAAUUAUAGAGGAGAUGGGUCAAGACUACUUAAGAGAAAUAUCUGGAAAAAAACAAGCUUUGGAUAUUUUCUAAGGUCUAUUUCAAAAGCACUUUGACCUAUGUUCUGUAUAAAAGAACUAAAAUUUAAAUAACAGAAUCAUUUUUAUUAUAAAAGUAACUAGCUUACUGUUAUAUCAGUUCAGAAUACAGAAAACUAACUAUGGCUAUUAAGAAUUUAUCAAGUUAGUAAUGUCAAGGAGAAAAAUUUUCCCUCUAGAAAUUCUGACUGGCGUAAGAAUUAAACUGACAUCAGACAGAUUAGCAGGAGAAAAUCAAAACAGGUUUAAUAACAUGUAUACAUGGAAGAAACCUAGGAAAACUGAGUAACUCCCAAAAUGGUUGAAGCCCUCAACUUAAAUACUGUGUUCAGCCAAAGACAAAACAGGAUGUUGAGGGUAGUGGUUUGGGACUUUAAAGGGGAGGAAGGCAAUUUACAUGGAAGUAGAAAAACAAAUGUUUGAUAAAUGUUUACUGGGCCAUACAGAGACAAUGGGACACAGAGUGGACUCUGAUUUCUAGGCCUUGUGGUUUCCACCACCAUGCUUAACCUGUAUUCUUUGUAUAUAUCUCUGGUGAUAGUUCUAUUCCAGGAACAGUUACUUUACCUAAAAUUUUUUUAAGCAGCUAAGAGGGUGGUAAUUUCCUGAGUCUUCUAUUUCUUCAGAAUAAUCAGCCUAAUUAAUCUUCAUGGCAAAAAGACACUUUUCAGGUGACAAACUUGGUUCCCCUACAAUAAGCAUGUACAGACACUUUCUAAUUAAGAGCCCCUAUAAUCUCUGAAGGCUGUAGAUCAAAAAUUUAUCUGGAAUGAUAUUAUCAGACACUCUAAUGAUCUCUAGAAAACACAAAUCUUUCUGGAUAUUUGACAAUAGAUUUAUAAUUCUGGGCUUAAUGUAUAUUUUUUCAACAUUUACCUUAAAUAUCAAGAGUGAACUGGAUAUCAAUUUAAAUUUCAAUUUAAAAUCAUACAAGAUAGGGCAAAAAAACAGCAUAAGUUAAGUCAACUGAAAAAUGAAAGAAAAAAAAAUACAACCUAUUCACAGGCAAAGGGUAAAUGGCUUACUUGAGACUUAAAAAUUCAAAGACAACCUUCCCAAUCCCUUGCAAAAUACAGGCAAAGGACACAUACCUAAGUCAUCAAAAAAAGAAAGACAAAUAGCCCACAAAUAUAUGAAAAGUUGUUCAAUGGUUUUGCUUAGUCGAAACUUUAACAAUCUCUAUUAUUUGCUGGGUUUCUAAAGAAGUAAAUAUUGAAGGAUAACUAGACUGGGACUUCAAAAUGUAGAAUAGAUGAAUAAGAUUAUACUGUAUAGCACAGGGAAAUAUAUACAAGAUCUUACGGCAGCUCACAGCUAAAAAAGAUGUGACAAUGAGUAUAUAUAUCUUCAUGUAUAACUGAAAAAUUGUGCUCUACACUGGAAUUUGACACAACAUUGUGAAAUGACUAUAACUCAAAAAAAAAAAGUUAAAAUAAAUAAAUAAAUAAAGGAUAACUAGAAAUUAAUUCUUUGAGAAUUGACCAUUCUUAGAAUCAAAAUUUCCCAACACAAGAAAAAAAUUCUGAAUUAUUUUCCCCCCAGAAUGUAUUAUGUCAAUGAGCAUUGUGAUUAAAAAUAUCUGAUGCUUGUGACUUUUUAACUGCAAGAAAUCUGAGAUUUUUAAAACAUCAGUUAGCUAUGGGAAAUUCGUAUGUAUAAAUUAUGUACACACUAACUCUAUAUAUACCAAUUAUGCAGUAGUACACUAUGUAAUAAUUUAUGUACUGUCCACUGAAAGAAAAAGUCACAAGGUGAAAGUUGUGAGUUAAGUUUUAUUUGGGGAACUUAUCAAGAAUUAUAGCCCAGGAAACAGCCUCUCAGCUCUGAGGAACUGCUCUAAAGAGGUAAAAGAAGAGUCAGGUUACACAUAAAUUUUUUUGCUGGAAAAAAAACUUGUAAUCAAACCUCAAAAGAUUACUGCUAAUCACAAUGAACAGGUAUUUCAAAUUAAUUAUUUUAGUGCUUUUCUAUGUAAAGGAAAAAUGCAAGAAUCUGCGGACAUUAAUAGUUUUCUUUAGAUAUGUUUCUUAACUGUCCAGAGGCCUGUAAAUCCAAAGUACAGAAUACUUUCUGUUUUUCUCCAUCCUAAAUUCCCCACAGGAUGCACUGUCCAUGAGCAACCACAGUAGCUAAUGGUUUGAACCUUGAAGAACUGAGAUGGCAGGCAAAGAUUUUUUUCUUUACAACUAACUAUGGGUAAAAUACUAUAUUGCCCAACUUAACUUGUAUUAUUGAGCAAUUCUGUUCACCUCUGGCUUUACAUAUUUCAUCCAAAAAGUAGGGGCUGGGCCAAUUGAUCUCCAAAGCCAUUCUCAGUGCUAACAUUCUAAUUUUAUCUUGUUUGUCUUUUUGUACACUUAAGUGUGAGGUGUAAAUUAGUUUAAGUCUAUGAUAUUUAAAUGUACUUUUCUGUCUCUACCAUUACAAUGAGAAAGAAUGAAAGAUUUUAUUUUUGCAAACCUAUCUGCAGAAUAAGGUUUGUAAUAUAUUUACUUUUUAAAGCCUUCAAAAGCCAAGAGAAAACAAAAUGAAUACCUGUGCCUUCUGAGAAAAGCCCUCCUUUCUAUACUUGGCUGGGUUCAGAAUCCCUGUGUUGGGUGUGGCAUAUCACAGUAAUGCCCUUGAAAUAAUAGCUAAAUAAGAAGGUCAACCGUCUGGCAGGUGCCUAUGAGAUGCAAGUAAAGGUGGCAGAGCUCCCAGGACCAACAUCAAAAAGAUGGCUUAAAUAUCCUCUGGCCAUUCUCUUUCAGGUUUUCACAAAUACCUAACCUGGAUACCAACAUGACAGGGAAAGCCUCUUCUGAGAACAUUCACAGGCCCCUUCCUGCUGCUACCCCUGCCUCUAAAAGCAAAAAUGUAAAUAUAGCAAUUUAGGCAGCAAAAUAUCAUCUAACACUGUUUUAUUUAACAAAGUUGGCUUCUGUUCAGUGACAUCCCAGACACCUACCUCCACGCUAUGACCAUUCCUAAAGCUACAGGAGAGCGACCACAUAGCUCCAAACCUGGUCUACAAACAAGCAUAUUCUCCAUUGUCUCCUCAUUGUCUCUUGGCAGUUGACAAGAUCUUUAGGGGAGUUGGAGGAACCACUAAUGUUUAAGCCCCUACUUCACUCAAAGCCUUAACUCUUGAGUUCUAUUCCUCUCAGGAUGUUAGGAAGUUCACAGUCAAUACUCUCCCUUUGAACUCAGAUACUAAAAUGACCUCGAGGCUCAUAGGUAGACAGUAGCCCCCCCUCACAGGUCAGCUUGCCAUGCCUGAUUUAGAAGUUUUCUGUGCAGACAGUUGUAGCUUGUUUCUUUCAGAGACAAAUCCUACUUUGUUUCUAGUGCUAAAAUAAUUAAAAUCAAAAUCUCUCAGAAUUUUCCCAGCGUUUGUACAUCCACACUUGGGGAGAUUCAGCAGAAACAUGUAAAAUGCGCUUGAUGGCAACACCCAUUUAUGUCAUUCAACAUUUAAUGAGUAUUUAUUAUGGACCUAGUAUAGGUCUAGACUUGUCUUCUCAUGGGAGACACAGCAAGAAAACUCGAUCCCUGCCCCGUGGAGUUUGUCCAGAAAAAGAGGGAACAAGGCUCAGAACCUUUCAAAUGGAGCCUCAGUUGGGUUAAAUCAGAGUAAGUUAAAGAAACCUAUGUGAACAUUUUCAAUUAUAUUUGAAAUGAUUUGAUGAACCCCCAGUACAGAAAUUUCACUGACUGAAAGAGAUCUCCUAUAAAAUCCCAAUCCUUGAAUCUAAAAUACACCUGUUACCAGGAAACCAAAAACUAGCUAUAUUUCUUUCCUUGCUUUUAAAUUCUCUUAUGAGGAAAAAAAAUUAACUUUCAAGCCUAAAAAUAGAUGGGAAAAUUUUUUUCAGCUUUAUUAUGAUAUAAUUGAUAUAUAAUAUUAUUUAUAUAGUUGCAGAGAACAAGAAGUAGAUUCUUUGUUUUCAUAAAUAAAUGUCAACUUUGAGAUGCAGAACAUUUCUGUUAUAUCACUUCUUCACAACUGUAAGAAUUAACAGAAAUGAU